rnacentral:rRNA from 1 species
AACGAACGCUGGCGGCAGGCCUAACACAUGCAAGUCGAACGUGAAGCCACCUUCGGGUGGUGGAAAGUGGCAGACGGGUGAGUAACGCGUGGGAACGUGCCUUUCGGUUCGGAAUAACCCAGGGAAACUUGGGCUAAUACCGGAUACGCCCUUCGGGGGAAAGAUUCAUCGCCGAAAGAUCGGCCCGCGUCGGAUUAGCUAGUUGGUAGGGUAAUGGCCUACCAAGGCGACGAUCCGUAGCUGGUCUGGGAGGAUGACCAGCCACACUGGGACUGAGACACGGCCCAGACUCCUACGGGAGGCAGCAGUGGGGAAUAUGGGACAAUGGGCGAAAGCCUGAUCCAGCCAUGCCGCGUGGGUGAAGAAGGCCCUAGGGUUGUAAACCCCUUUCAGCGGGGAAGAUAAUGACGGUACCCGCAGAAGAAGCCCCGGCUAACUCCGUGCCAGCCGCCGCCGUAAUAC